CUAUGCUGAUUGGGAUGGUGGUCUUCUCUUAUAUAAGAAGGCAGUCUGCGCAAAUAUUGAGGAACAAGCAUGUAAGUAGCAUUCCUCUACAGCUUCUUCCUUGGCUCCUUCAUCUGAUUCUUGCCUUGUUUGAGUUUUUGCCUCCAGUUUUAUCCAUGCUGUUGCAAAAAAAAAAAAAAUCAAACAAACAAACAAAAAAAAAACCAACCAACCAACCAACCAAACAAACAAAAAAACGUGCCAAAGAUUAAUUGAAUGGGAAAGGGAUUUAUUUAGCAUACACUUCAGUUGUCAGUCCAUUGAAAAGUUUCUGUACCCUGAUAAGCCUCUCUGCCAGUGCAAUAAUUCAAAUCAGACCAAAUCAAACCAAUUAGAAAAAGCCCAGGUAUAAUGGAUAUCAGCACUCUCCCUAGAAAGGAGCAACGGAAGGACUUGUUUGUUCUCUAGAUUACAGUUUAAAUACCCUUUGGGAGUGGUCUUGAGCUUCUCUGGGGAGGGGUCACAGUUUGUAGGACUUUCUCAGCGGUGAAGCCUGGACUGAAGCAACUCCCAGGGGAAGGAGGGCUUGGGAUAGAACUUCCACCCAGGCAUUCCAGAUUCUAGAUGUGUUUACGCCUGGGGCUGAGGUAAAACUUGAACACAAGCGUUCCAGAUUUUUUGGCCUUAUGGAUAUCAGGUACUGGGAUAAAGCCUUAACCCAAACAUCCAUUAUUAAAGAAAUGUCAGAAACAGAGAAUAAGCACAUCUCUUUCUUGCCUGCUUCCAGUCAAGUACUGUUCUCUUUUACACUGUGGGCACCACCCACAGUAAGCUGCAUGAGCCUCUAUCAGUGAACCGAUUUGACACACCCCCAUAGCAUACUGAAUACCAGGUAAUAUUCAGUUCCUUUCAAAGUAAUCUAGGACUGGUCAAAUUGAGAAUCAAGGAUUAUCAGUGUAUAAGACAAGAAAGAAGUCAGUCAGACCCUGGAUAAAAGAAGGAAUGGAAGAGAGAGAGAGAGAGAGAGAGAGAGAGAGAGAGAGAGAGAGAGAGAGAGCUUAGUUCUUACCCUAGGACAGUCUCAGAAUUCUUGCCAGGUAGCAGUCUUCUUUAUAAAUGUAACUGAUAAAUAUCCUUUCAUUUUUCUCUAUCCUCAUUGUGUAUCUAUCCCAUGUUUACCAUCAACACUAUCUAUAGAUGCACACAGCAUAAAAAUGGAGUCAUUAUUAAGACUAAGAGGUAACUGUAAGCCCCAGUCUCUGGUCUCCAUCUUUGGAGGCCCCAUCCUGUGUUCAGAGGAGGGUCAAGAUGAGCAUGCCAAAAUCUUGACCACACCCUCAGUCUUCCCUGCUUCCCUGCAAAGUUUCCUCGUGGUCUCUUUCCUCUCUCCUUUGCAGCUUCCAGGUUCUCUCUCACCUGAGAACGCAGAAAUACCAUUAAACCUGGAUAUUUCUUAAUUUGGCUUGUUGUGGUUUGGCUUGAUUGGGAUUUUUGCAUUGUCAGAGAACUCAUGUUAGGAAAAAAUCCUAACAUAUUGGAGGUCCCAUCGAGAGAGAGUGGCCUUUCCAUGUGGUCCUAGGCCAUGUGUCAAAAGCCCCCUAGUCUACAAUCUGAGCUCUCCAUCCCACACUAAAGCCGGCUCCUGGGCUACAGCGGCUGUGUCUUGGUGAGUCCUUUUUUCUUGACUAUGCUAUAGGGUUUUCAGGCAACCCAUUUGUACUUAACUUAUGUUGAUUAUCAGACUCUUGUUGAAGCCAUGAGCUUGCACCAAGAGUUUGAUUUUAGCAGCGGCCAGACCAGCAAGAUAGGGCUUGGCUGAAAUAGGCUUUGUUUGCUCCAGGGAUGCCUAGCAUUCAAUUUCCAUGAGCCUAUUAGGCCUAAGAGCUAUUUUAGUGGAUGCACUAUAAUAGAUUUAGGCCACUUGGUUGGUCAUAGACUUUAAAACGGGCACUUGCAGUUCAAAGCCAGAUCGGCUGUCACCCCUAGUAUGCCACUUACAAAAUCUUUAUGAAUUGAGACUGUCCAAUACAAUCUGUCCCAAAUGGCUAAUUUCUCUAUACACUAAGAUUUAGCCUUCACCGUCUUCUGGGACCUUGAAAAUUUUGGCCACCGUAAAGACAAAUGGACAGAACUUACAUAUGUCAUGGUUUUGGGACUCUGCACUCUCACCCUUCCCUUAGUAGCCAGCGUCUUGCAGCACCAAUCUUGGACACUAAGGCUGCAAUGCCUCCAAAUUCCUGGUCAUCUGGGAAUUGGGACUCCAUCAUUUCCAGCUGGACCUUGCAGCCAGAGACACUCGCCCCUCCCCCACUCCUUCAAGCCCUCACUACCCAACCCCCUCCUGUGGAACAACAUUCUCCACAUUCCUCUCUUUCCCUGUCUCCCACAUCCCUUCCCAAUCUGGAGGUUCAAGGUAAACUUCCACCUUACCCACCUUCCCCUCUCCCUCCUACCCAAAAAGAAUCAGCCUUGUCUUCCCAACAGACAAGGCUGCAACAGGCAGCUACCCUACAGGCCCAGGCUUUAGCCACUGCCCUAAGGUCACAGGAAGGGGGACAAGAGAAGUCAACCACAAGGCUCUACCCUGAUAGAGCCCAGCCUAAGUCAACCUCACAGGUAAGCUAUUUCAACUGUUGCCUAAAUGGUCAUGUGUCACUAUAUUGCAAUAUGCCUCCUCUGAGGUCCAGCAACCUGGACACUGGAAAUCACAAUGCCCUUGUGCUGGCUUGUCCUCUAUGCCAUGCCACAGAGGUCAGGCCUCACCAACAUUGACAAGUGAAACUGUGCCAGCCUUCGAACUUCUCAGCCUUGCAGAGGAUUGACGCAGCCCAGACUUGGUAUAUCUCAUAACCCUAUCUGAGGCUAGGGUAAAAGCUGCAGGUAGUGGCUAAGUCCAUUAUUUUUAUUUUUGGAUAUGGGAGCUACCUAUUCUGUUCUAACAUCUCACUCGGGCCUUAUGUUCCCUUCACCAAUUUCAGUUAUGGGGGUAGAUAGGACCUGUUCCUCCUCACUUAAACCUUUGCCACUGCACUACAUUCUUGCAGGACAAUUUUUCUCUCAUUCUUUCUUAGUGAUUCCUGCUUGCUCAGCACCUUUACUGGGUCGAGAAAUUCUUAGCUGCUUCCCCAAAGCUUUGUUCUGUUUCUUGGAACCCCUUUUUUACCCCAACCAUCUCCAAGAUUCUAUUUUACAGGUUCACUCCUCCUGCCAGACAUGUGCCCAGACCAACCAACAGGGGACUCUCUACAUACGUCAGUCUCUACACCAGCUUUGCGGACACCAACCGGGCAAGAUUGACAGGUUGAUUUCACUCAUAUGCCUUCUCAUAAAAUAUUCUGUUAUCUCUUAAUACUUGUGGACACUUUUACAGGAUAAAUAGAAGUGAUUCUGAUCUCCAGGAAAACAGCAAAUGUGGUGGCUCAGGUACUCCUGGACCACAUCAUUCCUCGGUUUGGUGUUCCACAAACCAUCCAGAUGGACAAUGAACUCACCAAACAACAACUAACCAAGAUCUCCAUUGAACUCAGGUCUCUUCUCCAUUCACAUGCUGACAGUUGUCUCUGCCACCACACCAGUGGACCCUAAUGCUCCUACCUCCUGGGGAAAGAGUACUCCUCAAACAGUCAACUCUUAGGUCUCUCAAACCUCGAUGGACAAACCUCGAUCUCAUACGAUACCUGCCUUCUCACCUCCCCCAAGGAACAGAUGCCUGACGUCUCCGGGAUGAGUACACAGGAUGCCUUUUCACCUACACCUCUUGCUGAGCAUGGACCCAACAACACCUAGCUCUCCCCUUCUCCAUGUUGCUCUAUGCCUGCAGGAAGUAGCCAGACUUGAGUCAACUCCCCUUUUUCCUAAGAAAGCCUAAAUGUUCGUCAAAAUAUCACUUCAGCUUCCUUAUACAAACAGUCUGGUAUGUAAGCCCCAGUCUCUGUCCUCCAGUUUUGGAGGCCCAGUCUCUGUGCCCACCAAGUCCUGACUCCUCCCUGAAGGAGGGUCAAGACAAGCCCACAAAAAUCUUGACCUCGCCCUCAGUCUAUUUAAAUUGUUUCCUUGGAAAGUUUCCUCAUGGUCCUUUUCUUCUCUCCCUGGUGGUCACGUUUGCUGUCUCCUGGUUCCCCCUCGGGUCCACUUGAGAGCACAAGAAUCCCAUUAAACCCAAAUAUUUCUUAA